rnacentral:misc_RNA from 1 species
GACUACUACUACCAGCCCUGGUCCCAGGAGGCCGUGUGUCGCUACUUCUACAGCAAGGUCCAACAGAGGAGAAUGGAACUGGAGCAGGCUCUGGGAAUACGCAAUUCUUGAAGAUCACAAUCUGUAGGUUUCUUGUGUGACGCUGUUAAACUGUGACAUGGUGUCGACAAAUCUAGGUGCCCUGUGAGUUUUACUUAAAGUGUUCAGGAGACAGCAACUGAAGUGUGAACAUGUGAUGGAUAUCGAGACGGAAAAUUAUCUUUGUUGUGUGAAGUUCCCCUAAUAACUCUUCAUUAGCUGACAGUCCAACGUUCUGUGAAUCAUUUUGACUGUCUUACUAUUUGAUUCCACUGCCAUAAUAUUUGUUGUGUAGUAAGAUAAAAUAAGAUUGGUAAAGUUGAUUAAAUUAACGAAAAAUAUUUUUAUAUUCACAAGGAAAGGAAAACAUUUAAUUUUGUUACAGAUGCAGCUCACCUUUUUACCUUUUUUUUUUUUUGGGGGGGGGGGGGGGACAACUUUAUGGUCAGAUAUGGCUUUUGCAUUUAUAUAUGGAGACAGUUUAUGUUGUGUCAUUGUCAUUUUGUAUGUCAUUUUUCAUCUAUCCAUGUAUUCAUAAAAACUGAACAAGCAAAUGAAAUUUGAACC